rnacentral:rRNA from 1 species
UACGUAGGGGGCAAGCGUUGUCCGGAAUCAUUGGGCGUAAAGCGCGUGUAGGCGGCUCGAUAAGUCUGCUGUGAAAGUUCAGGGCUCAACCCUGAAAUGCCGGUGGAAACUGUCGAGCUAGAGUACGGAAGAGGCGAGUGGAAUUCCUGGUGUAGCGGUGAAAUGCGCAGAUAUCAGGAGGAACACCAAUGGCGAAGGCAGCUCGCUGGGACGUUACUGACGCUGAGACGCGAAAGCGUGGGGAGCGAACAGG